UACGGAGGAUCCAAGCGUUAUCCGGAUUUAUUGGGUUUAAAGGGUGCGUAGGCGGCGCGCUAAGUCAGUGGUGAAAGACGGUGGCUCAACCAUCGCAGUGCCGUUGAUACUGGCGCGCUUGAAUGCGGAUGAGGUAGGCGGAAUGUGGCAAGUAGCGGUGAAAUGCAUAGAUAUGCCACAGAACACCGAUUGCGAAGGCAGCUUACCAAGGCGAUAUUGACGCUGAUGCACGAAAGCGUGGGGAUCGAAC
rnacentral:rRNA from 1 species